rnacentral:rRNA from 1 species
CAGCAGCCGCGGUAAUACGUAGGUGGCAAGCGUUGUCCGGAAUUAUUGGGCGUAAAGGGCUCGCAGGCGGUUUCUUAAGUCUGAUGUGAAAGCCCCCGGCUCAACCGGGGAGGGUCAUUGGAAACUGGGAAACUUGAGUGCAGAAGAGGAGAGUGGAAUUCCACGUGUAGCGGUGAAAUGCGUAGAGAUGUGGAGGAACACCAGUGGCGAAGGCGACUCUCUGGUCUGUAACUGACGCCGAGGAGCGAAAGCGUGGGGAGCGAACAGGAUUAGAGACCCCUGUAGUCCCUGUCUCUUAUAC